GACGAACGCUGGCGGCGUGCUUAACACAUGCAAGUCGAACGGUAAGGCCCUUCGGGGUACACGAGUGGCGAACGGGUGAGUAACACGUGGGUGAUCUGCCCUGCACUUCGGGAUAAGCCUGGGAAACUGGGUCUAAUACCGGAUAGGACUCCUGGCUGCAGGGUUGGGGGUGGAAAGCUUUUGCGGUGUGGGAUGGGCCCGCGGCCUAUCAGCUGGUUGGUGGGGGAAUGGCCUACCAAGGCGACGACGGGUAGCCGGCCUCGAGAGGGUGACCGGUCACACUGGGACUGAGAUACGGCCCAGACUCCUACGGGAGGCAGCAGUGGGGAAUAUUGCACAAUGGGCGCAAGCCUGAUGCAGCGACGCCGCGUGAGGGAUGACGGCCUUCGGGUUGUAAACCUCUUUCAGCUAUGACGAAGCGCAAGUGACGGUAGUAGCAGAAGAAGGACCGGCCAACUACGUGCCAGCCGCCGCGGUAA
rnacentral:rRNA from 1 species